GAUGAACGCUGGCGGCGUGCCUAAUACAUGCAAGUCGAGCGAACGGACGAGAAGCUUGCUUCUCUGAUGUUAGCGGCGGACGGGUGAGUAACACGUGGAUAACCUACCUAUAAGACUGGGAUAACUUCGGGAAACCGGAGCUAAUACCGGAUAAUAUUUUGAACCGCAUGGUUCAAAAGUGAAAGACGGUCUUGCUGUCACUUAUAGAUGGAUCCGCGCUGCAUUAGCUAGUUGGUAAGGUAACGGCUUACCAAGGCAACGAUGCAUAGCCGACCUGAGAGGGUGAUCGGCCACACUGGAACUGAGACACGGUCCAGACUCCUACGGGAGGCAGCAGUAGGGAAUCUUCCGCAAUGGGCGAAAGCCUGACGGAGCAACGCCGCGUGAGUGAUGAAGGUCUUCGGAUCGUAAAACUCUGUUAUUAGGGAAGAACAUAUGUGUAAGUAACUGUGCACAUCUUGACGGUAUCUAAUCAGAAAGCCACGGCUAACUACGUG
rnacentral:rRNA from 1 species